rnacentral:rRNA from 1 species
UACAGAGGUCUCAAGCGUUGUUCGGAUUCAUUGGGCGUAAAGGGUGUGUAGGUGGCGCGCUAAGUCGGGUGUGAAAUUUCGGAGCUUAACUCCGAAACUGCAUUCGAUACUGGCGUGCUUGAGGACUGGAGAGGAGACUGGAAUUCAUGGUGUAGCAGUGAAAUGCGUAGAGAUCAAGUGGAACACCAGUGGCGAAGGCGAGUCCCUGGACAACUCCUGACACUGAGGCACGAAAGCUAGGGGAGCAAACAGG